UACGAAGGGGGCUAGCGUUGCUCGGAAUGACUGGGCGUAAAGGGCGCGUAGGCGGUUUGGUUUGUUAGGUGUGAAAUUCCUGGGCUUAACCUGGGGGCUGCACUUAAUACGGCCAGGCUUGAGUGUGGAAGAGGGUCGUGGAAUUCCCAGUGUAGAGGUGAAAUUCGUAGAUAUUCGCAAGAACACCAGUGGCGAAGGCGGCUCACUGGCCCGGUACUGACGCUGAGGUGCGAAAGCGUGGGAAGCAAACAGG
rnacentral:rRNA from 1 species